rnacentral:rRNA from 1 species
CAAAGGUAGCGUAAUCACUUGUUCUUUAAAUGAGGACUAGUAUGAACGGCAUCACGAGGGUUAUGCUGUCUCCCUACUUUAUUCAGUGAAACUAAUCUCCCCGUGAAGAAGCGGGGAUAAAAAUAUAAGACGAGAAGACCCCAUGGAGCUUUAAACUCAGUAUCAACUGCCAUAAUUAAAGCCUUAUACCCAAGCAGUUCAUGACUACUAGUUUUCGGUUGGGGUGACCACGGAGUAUAACCUAACCUCCAUGAUGAAAGGAACUAAAAACCUAAAUUAAGGACUACAAUCCUAAAUAUCAUAAAAUUGACUAAUUGAUCCAAUUAAUUGAUCAACGAACCAAGUUACCCUGGGGAUAACAGCGCAAUCCAUUUCAAGAGCUCUUAUCGACAAAUGGGUUUACGACCUCGAUGUUGGAUCAGGGUAUCCCAGUGGCGCAGCCGCUACUAACGGUUCGUUUGUUCAACGAUUAAAACCUUACGUGAUCUGAGUUCAGAACCGGAGAGUGAUUA